UUAUAAGAGCCACAGAUCCUCGGCACUGGUUUGGCACAAGACUUCCCGAGCAGGACAAGUAACCCACAAAAUGUAGCCAGUAUCCAGGGCUGCUCACAGCUAUGCUUCUUGUUAAAGAAGAUGAUGGUCUUAAAAUGGUUUUACCACAAGAAACUUCCCCUACACGGAAUAUUCCUGUUGUUUUCCCCUGAGGCCUCACACUGCCACUCUGAGGAAUAAAAUGAUAGAUCCAGAGGGUUUACCACAGAUCAUGGGGAGACAAUACAGAUUUAUUAAGAGACAAGUUUUUACGGCCAGUACAAGAAGAGAUGUGUCAUAAAUAUACCUAAUGAAGGGUCUUGAGAUGGCCAGGACAGUGCGGAUGAACCAUGUUGGGUGAGCGAUGAUGAGACACUUUAGAUUCUUCCUCAGUCUAUAGGAAACAA